GCUGGCGGCAGCUUACACAUGCAAGUCGAACGCCCCCGCGAGGGGGAGUGGCAGACGGGUGAGUAACACGUGGGAACAUACCCUUCGGUUCGGAACAACGUUUGGAAACGGACGCUAAUACCGGAUGCGCCGAGUGAUCGGGAAAGGCUUGACCGCCGAAGGAUUGGCCCGCGUUCGAUUAGCUUGAUGGCGGGGUAACGGCCCACCAUGGCGACGAUCGAUAGCUGGUCUGAGAGGAUGGCCAGCCACAUUGGGACUGAGACACGGCCCAAACUCCUACGGGAGGCAGCAGUGGGGAAUAUUGGACAAUGGGCGCAAGCCUGAUCCAGCCAUGCCGCGUGAGUGAUGACGGCCUUAGGGUUGUAAAGCUCUUUCGCACGCGACGAUAAUGACGGUAGCGUGAGAAGAAGCCCCGGCUAACUUCGUGCCAGCAGCCGCGGUAAUACGAAGGGGGCUAGCGUUGUUCGGAAUCACUGGGCGUAAAGGGUGCGCAGGCGGGCACUUAAGUCAGGGGUGAAAUUCCCGAGGCUCAAACCUCGGAACUUGCCUUUGAUACUGGGUGUCUUGAGUCCGGAAGAGGUGAGUGG
rnacentral:rRNA from 1 species